rnacentral:ncRNA from 1 species
CUAACGGGCCCGCGAGUCAAGGGGCGACUGAAACCCCACGGCGCAAUGGAGGUGAAGGUCGAUUCGGUCGAUCGAGGUGGGAUCCUCUCCCUCGGGGGAGGCGCACCACCGCCCCGCCAUAUCCGCUCCGUUCGGUGUGGCGGAGGCAGAGCGGGCACGCUAGGACCCGAAAGAUGGAACAUCUUUUUUCUGA